rnacentral:ncRNA from 1 species
GUUAAGGUGCCGGAAUAUAAGCUCAUCAGACACCACAAAAGGUGUCAGUUCUUCUAGACAGCAGGACGGUGGCCAUGGAAGUCGGAAUCCGCAAAGGAGUGUGUAACAACUC